UUUACUGAAGAUCAAGUGAAAUACAGAAAAGCAAAGCCAGAACUAAGGUUUGUGCUCCAAAGGUAUAGUUUACUGAAGGUCAAGUGGAAUACAGUAAAGCAAAACCAGAACUGAGGUUCGCUCACCAAAGGUAUAGCUUACUGAACGUCAAGUGAAAUACAGUAAAGCAAAGUCAGAAAUGAGGUUCGCACGCCAAAGGUGUAGUUUACUGAAGGUCAAGUGAAAUACAGUAAAACAAAGCUAGAACUGAGAUUUGCUCACCAAAGGUAUAGUUUACUGAAGGUCAAGUGAAAUACAGUAAAGCAAAGCCAGAACUGAUGUUCACGGCCCAAAGGUAUAGUUUACUGAAGGUCAAGAGAAAUACAGUAAAGCAAAGCCAGAACUGAGAUUUGCUCACCAAAGGUAUAGUUUAGUGAAGGUCAAGUGAAAUACAUAAAGCAAAGUCAGACCUGAGGUUCGUGCACCAAAGUUAUAGUUUACUGAAGGUCAAGUGAAAUACAGUAAAACAAAGCCAGAACUGAUGUUCACGCGCCAAAGUAAUAGUUUAUUGAAGGU